AAGUGUGCUCUGCUCUCUCGCUCUGUGGAAAGAGGAACUGAGAGUAGUGGCAGACAGCCUAGACCCUUUUCUUAGACAGGAAAACAGUUGUUGUUGAACUCAAACUAUGUGUUGUGAUAGAAAGUCCUAGAGUGUCGAAUGACAGUAAAUGUGUUGAGUGCGAUUACCAUAUAAGGGAAAUCUAUGAAAUAUCUCUGAAUGCUGAUUCAUGUUUGUAACCUUUAAAGGAUGCUGAGGGGAGGUAUAAAAAACUGCUACUGAGCUCACAGAUCUCAGAGCUGGGAAUCACAGACCUUUGUAUCUCUGUGUGCCUAACUCUCAAUAAAGCUUGUUACUCACUUUCACAUACGACGUAGAGGUUAGAUUUUAUUCUGUCUAUCACUAAUUUCCACCACAUUUCGAAUACGUGUACUAUUUAGAAGUCCUUUAUGCACAAUUUAGUAGGCAUUUAACUGCAACUGUCUGAGAGAGCUCAUCAGUACAGAAGCAGCUUCUACCUGAUCACAAUUUUCUGUUCAGAUUAGGGCAAGAAGACACAGCAAUGAGACGUCUUUUCAUCAUCAUCAUCAUCCUCGCUACGCUUACAGCUCCAGGAAUGAGCACGAAGAUCUCCAGUAAGAAGACUGAAAAAGAGGUUGGUUU